AGUUACACUAUAAGCAUGAAAUGGCUCUCGAUGCUGAUGGAAGAAGACUUCUGGUGACAUCCAACUCCCUGAGAGCGCCUAUUUACCAGGUCCGCGGUCAUGCAUAUGGGAUGAGAAGUCUUCCUCACAGUGCAUCUAUAACAACAGUAGACUGGCAUCCGACGUCGCCCAUCUUUUUGACUGGAUCUGCAGAUCACUCGGUUCGGGUUACAUCUAUGGCAUGACAGCUUCUGGUUUCUCUUGAAAAAAGGACACAGAAGAAGAGAGGUCUUGCUUCAUGGACUCUUUGGGACCUUACGAUGCCGCAAAAACCCUUCGGGCGAGGAGAUUGUGCAAUAGUGGAUCAAAUGAUUUUGCUGUAUCCAAUCAG